UGCGUUGCUGACCUCCGUGUAGUGAGGAGGCGCAUAGGCGAGUCUGACAAGACUUUGUUAUUUGAUUUGAACUUGGACGAAAAAGUGGUAGUUUACGUGUAAUCCUGUCAGCCAUCGGACGACAAACAUGAGCGUCGCGAGAAGUUUGUUGCUCGUCCAGGAACUUGACAGUCAUCUCGUCAAGAGAUUUCUUCACCAUGUUACUAGAAAUGCGGCCCCGAGAAGGCGCCUCGUGAGUUCCGUGCG
rnacentral:lncRNA from 1 species